rnacentral:snRNA from 1 species
GCAAGGGAAGUCGGCAAA